CCACUCAGCCAAGCCACGAUAUGAGAAAAGAGAUGGCUAUAUCAUUACUCUCGAAUCACAAGCUACACACCUCUCUCCCAAAUUGCAAGCUAAGAAAUUACAACCGAACAAAGAGAAAGAGCGGCGGAACGAAGAGAAAGAGACGAAUUCACUUUUGGGUUCAUCUCAUUUAGCUCUUACAGUCAUUGGAUGGUUAAAUUGAAGAUUACACCUAUUUAGUUGCAAUUGGGAGGGCUAUUAGCUAGAAUUGGCAUUCCAAGUUGUUUGUAGAGAGGCCAGGUCCCCUCUCUCUCUCAUCGGUUAAUUGUCAAGUUCCGUGGGUGCAAGGUGUGAAUUCUACAAUUGUGUUGCGCAAAUAAAGGAAUCCAGGGAGUAAGCUAAUCAUAAAGGUCAUGUUUACGUACUCAUGAGACUCAGUUACCCAUAUGUUACCCCUCAUGCAGUACACCGACAGACACUAGGCAACUCAUAUGUUACCCCUCAUGUAGUAUACCGACAGGCACUAGGCAACCCAUCUGGUUACCCAAAAUCAUUUAAAACAUGGGUACUCAUGAGACCAAAGUACUCAUCUGUUACCCCUCAUGCAUUACACCGACAUGCACUGCGCAACCCAUUUUGUUAUCCAAAAUCAUUUAAAAUAUGGGUACUCAUGAGACCCAGACAACCCAUUUGUUACCCCUCAUGCAGUACACCGGUACACAAACUAGAGCUCUAACUGAUCGUAACUGACACCC